UACGUAGGGCGCAAGCGUUAUCCGGAAUUAUUGGGCGUAAAGAGCUUGUAGGCGGUUUGUCGCGUCUGCUGUGAAAAUCCGGGGCUCAACCCCGGACUUGCAGUGGGUACGGGCAGGCUAGAGUGUGGUAGGGGAGACUGGAAUUCCUGGUGUAGCGGUGAAAUGCGCAGAUAUCAGGAGGAACACCGAUGGCGAAGGCAGGUCUCUGGGCCACUACUGACGCUGAGAAGCGAAAGCAUGGGGAGCGAACAGG
rnacentral:rRNA from 1 species